AGUGAACGCUGGCGGUAGGCCUAACACAUGCAAGUCGAACGGCAGCACAGUAAGAGCUUGCUCUUACGGGUGGCGAGUGGCGGACGGGUGAGGAAUACAUCGGAAUCUACUUUUUCGUGGGGGAUAACGUAGGGAAACUUACGCUAAUACCGCAUACGACCUACGGGUGAAAGCAGGGGAUCUUCGGACCUUGCGCGAUUGAAUGAGCCGAUGUCGGAUUAGCUAGUUGGCGGGGUAAAGGCCCACCAAGGCGACGAUCCGGAGCUGGUCUGAGAGGAUGAUCAGGCACACUGGAACUGAGACACGGUCCAGACUCCUACGGGAGGCAGCAGUGGGGAAUAUUGGACAAUGGGCGCAAGCCUGAUCCAGCCAUACCGCGUGGGUGAAGAAGGCCUUCGGUUUGUAAAGCCCUUUUGUUGGGAAAGAAAAGCAGCAGGUUAAUACCCCGCUGUUCUGACGGUACCCAAAGAAUAAGCACCGGCUAACUUCGUG
rnacentral:rRNA from 1 species